AUGAACUUGAAUGAAAAGUAACCUUCUCUGUGCACUACUUGCCCUGUAUAGACUGAAGACAAUCUACAGAUUGCAAAGGAUACAAGGUCAUAUGAUGUCCAGUCAUGCUGGAGCUGAGGUUCUCUCUGAGAGAGUGGGUAAUGCAGGAGUCGUCACACUGAACCGGCCCAAGGCUUUGAAUGCACUCAAUCUCACCAUGAUCAGACACAUAUACCCACAACUGAAGAAAUGGGAGAAGGAUUCCAAAAUCCAUAUUG